AAUGAGCGAAAGCUUGAUGCAGCGACGCCGCGUGAGGGAUGACGGCUUUCGGGUUGUAAACCUCUUUCGGCAGGGAACAAGUCCAGGUUUUGGCCUGGUUGAGGGUACCUGCAUAAGAAGCGCCGGCUAACUACGUGCCAGCAGCCGCGGUAAUACGUAGGGCGCGAGCGUUGUCCGGAAUUAUUGGGCGUAAAGAGCUCGUAGGCGGCUUGUCGCGUCUGCUGUGAAAACGCGGGGCUUAACUCCGCGCUUGCAGUGGGUACGGGCAGGCUUGAGUGUAGUAGGGGAGACUGGAAUUCCUGGUGUAGCGGUGGAAUGCGCAGAUAUCAGGAGGAACACCGAUGGCGAAGGCAGGUCUCUGGGCUAUAACUGACGCUGAGGAGCGAAAGCAUGGGGAGCGAA
rnacentral:rRNA from 1 species